rnacentral:rRNA from 1 species
AACGGACGCUGGCGGCAUGCCUAACACAUGCAAGUCGAACGAGAUCUUCGGGUCUAGUGGCGCACGGGUGCGUAACGCGUGGGAAUCUGCCCUUUGGUUCGGAAUAACAGUUGGAAACGACUGCUAAUACCGGAUGAUGACGAAAGUCCAAAGAUUUAUCGCCAGAGGAUGAGCCCGCGUAGGAUUAGCUAGUUGGUGUGGUAAAGGCGCACCAAGGCGACGAUCCUUAGCUGGUCUGAGAGGAUGAUCGGCCACACUGGGACUGAGACACGGCCCAGACUCCUACGGGAGGCAGCAGUGGGGAAUAUUGGACAAUGGGCGAAAGCCUGAUCCAGCAAUGCCGCGUGAGUGAUGAAGGCCUUAGGGUUGUAAAGCUCUUUUACCCGGGAUGAUAAUGACAGUACCGGGAGAAUAAGCUCCGGCUAACUCCGUGCCAGCAGCCGCGGUAA